AUUCUGCCCAUGCGGGGAAGGAUGAGAAGCUUCGACCAAGGUUCGACUUGAGCGCCAGCGAGAGAGCGUUGCCGCAGGCAACGACCCGAAGGGCGAAGCGCGCA
rnacentral:sRNA from 1 species